rnacentral:rRNA from 1 species
AUUGAACGCUGGCGGAAUGCUUUACACAUGCAAGUCGAACGGUAGAGGGGGCAACCCCUCGAGAGUGGCGAACGGGUGAGUAAUAUAUCGGAACGUGCCCAGUCGUGGGGGAUAACGUAGCGAAAGUUACGCUAAUACCGCAUACGAUCUAAGGAUGAAAGCGGGGAAUCGCAAGACCUCGCGCGAUUGGAGCGGCCGAUAUCAGAUUAGGUAGUUGGUGGGGUAAAGGCUCAACAAGCCAACGAUCUGUAGCUGGUCUGAGAGGACGACCAGCCACACUGGAACUGAGACACGGUCCAGACUCCUACGGGAGGCAGCAGUGGGGAAUUUUGGACAAUGGACGAAAGUCUGAUCCAGCCAUUCCGCGUGCAGGAUGAAGGCCCUCGGGUUGUAAACUGCUUUUGUACGAAACGAAAAGGUCUCUCUUAAUACGGGGGACUCAUGACGGUACCGUAAGAAUAAGCACCGGCUAACUACGUGCCAGCCGCCGCAGUAAGAC